CUUGGGGACACGCAUGCAUCACCCCAAGGGCGUGCUGAGGCCCUUCUCCUGGUUUUCCUCGUCCCACUAGGGUCCCAGCCAGAAGUGCUCUGGGGGUCUGCACGCUGGGAAGCAGCAUGCUCCGGGUGCGGGGUGCUGUAUGAGAGUCUCUUCCUGUGCAGGAAUCCAGUUCAUCUGAGCAAUCAUCAGUCAGCCCCUCGACUAGCACGGAGAUGGGGAGUCCAGCCCCGACCUCCUGGAGACAAUGAUGGAGGACUGGGAAGAAGCCGGAGAAGAGGCACCCACGGUCCACGAGGACGACGCUGUCCCCCAUAAGCGGAGCCUUUCCCCACGGACACACCAGGCCCUGCGGGAGGUGGUGACGCGCAUCCUGGGGCAGGUGGCCCGCAGGCACAGGGGACAGAGGGAUGACCAGAUGGAUCUGCAGGACAAGCUCAAGUGGUAAAUCUCCCCAGACACAGGCAGUACUUCCUCUGCCGCAGUGCCCUUCCUCCCACUCCCCGCAGCACUCGGGGAGAGAGGCGCUUUUACUGCUACCGGCCUCUCGGCAGAGCCGCAUUCUGCAGCCACAGCAGGCGCCCAGCUGGGGAGCCCGGCUGGUGAGCGCUCUGCCUGUGCUCACAUCAACUCGUCCCACUGUGUGUCUGCAGCGAGCUGGCAGUGCUGCAGUGGCGUCGGUCGAGGCAAGAGGCACACAGCAGCCAACAACUGUGGGAAGCUGGACCCCAACCUGCACCCCCUGCUCGUCCAGGGAAGAGGGUGGCAGGACCGGUAUGUGGCAUGGGCUCCUGGAGGGACUGUGUUGUAUCCACCUUUAGAAAAGCACCGUUACACGGAUGUCAUGUCUUACAAGACCCCUUAGCGCGUGCUUAGCUGAAGGCUGAAGCCCUUCUCCCCAGGCUUUCUCAAGAGGCGGCAGGUGGUUCUGUCCAAGACAGCCUUGACUUCUGCCAUCUUCAGAACCACCCAAAGACUUGAUUUGGUGGUGUUUGUAAUGGCGACGGCACUGCCAGGCUUGCCUGGGAUGGCAAGCAGCUGGGUUGCUUUCAGCCCCGUGGUCACUUGGCUCAGGGGUCGUUGCAGAAAGGCUUUGCGGUCGGGCCUGUGAGGACUGCGAGCAAACCAGGGCUGACGCAGAGGCUGAAGAGAAGGGGCAGGAGGGAGGGGGAGAGCUAAAAUCCCCCCAGCUCUGCGCCGGGGAGACUAACUCUGUCUGCUGCUGCAUUGCCUUGGCCCUGCAGGCAGAGCCCCAUGUGUGCACGGAGGAGGAAGGAUGCAAGCUCUGGGAUUCCUUGCGCAAGAAGUGCCAGCAGAAGGCAAGGGCAAAAGUGACACCCCCGAAGGCGUGGAACAAAGAGCGAGAGCAAUGGGAGGCCUAGGGCUCCUGCUUUCGUGGCACUCUGGAGUGGUGGGGAGAGGGCAGAAAAGAGCCAUCCGUGGAGGAUGAGGAGAGCCCCAAGGACAAGUUCAGUCUUUGCAUUUCAGGGUUCUCACCUCUGCAAAGGAGUCUUUCCCCAUGGACCCACUGGGCUUUGAGAGGAGCAGCAACCCGCCUCCUCGAGAAGGUAGAGGGAAGAGCCCAUUGCCAUGGUGGUGAGGAGGAGUCCUGCAGCUCAGGGGAGCAGAUCUAGUCCACGUCAGCGAGUGCCAGGAGAGCCUCUUGGGCACAGGGGCUCCCGAGAGAGAUGUCCAGCAGGAGCCUCCUCCAGCAUGACGAGCGCCAGUGCUGGCCAGCGGGGCUGUAACAGCUUUGCUUCUGCCUGUUCAAUAAAGCCCCAUCUGCAACCCCCUGGGUCUGACAGUGUGGGUCUUUCCUUGGUGGCUGUGAAAUCUCCACUAGGC